AUAAAUUGAAGAUUUAACAUAGUUGUAGGAACUUCUAAAUAAAAUACUUAUUUUUUUGUGAUUCAUUUUAGAGGGACCCAGAAACAGGUGAAAAAGCACCACCAAAUCAAGUUUGGUUGAUUCAGCACACUAAGAAAAAUAAAGAAGGAGAAUUAGUAUGGUCUGACCCUAAAUCCAAGGAGAUCCAUGUUAGUUAAAAAACUUGUUUUAUUGUUCUUAAAAUUCAUUAUGCAUUAUUUUGGCAUCUAAUCUUUGAUAAUCUAUUACAGGAACAACUUGAGGAGGUUGUUCAACAAACACAAGAGAAUGAAUC
rnacentral:lncRNA from 1 species